rnacentral:rRNA from 1 species
AUUGAACGCUGGCGGCAGGCCUAACACAUGCAAGUCGAGCGGAUGAGUGGAGCUUGCUCCAUGAUUCAGCGGCGGACGGGUGAGUAAUGCCUAGGAAUCUGCCUGGUAGUGGGGGACAACGUUUCGAAAGGAACGCUAAUACCGCAUACGUCCUACGGGAGAAAGUGGGGGAGUCUUCGGACCUCACGCUAUCAGAUGAGCCUAGGUCGGAUUAGCUAGUUGGUGAGGUAAAGGCUCACCAAGGCGACGAUCCGUAACUGGUCUGAGAGGAUGAUCAGUCACACUGGAACUGAGACACGGUCCAGACUCCUACGGGAGGCAGCAGUGGGGAAUAUUGGACAAUAGGGCGAAAGACCUGAUCCAGCCAUGCCGCGUGUGUGAAGAAGGUCUUCG